rnacentral:rRNA from 1 species
UUUAUGGAGAGUUUGAUCCUGGCUCAGGAUGAACGCUGGCGGCGUGCCUAAUACAUGCAAGUCGAGCGAACGGACGAGAAGCUUGCUUCUCUGAUGUUAGCGGCGGACGGGUGAGUAACACGUGGAUAACCUACCUAUAAGACUGGGAUAACUUCGGGAAACCGGAGCUAAUACCGGAUAAUAUUUUGAACCGCAUGGUUCAAAAGUGAAAGACGGUCUUGCUGUCACUUAUAGAUGGAUCCGCGCUGCAUUAGCUAGUUGGUAAGGUAACUGCUUACCAAGGCAACGAUGCAUAGCCGACCUGAGAGGGUGAUCGGCCACACUGGAACUGAGACACGGUCCAGACUCCUACGGGAGGCAGCAGUAGGGAAUCUUCCGCAAUGGGCGAAAGCCUGACGGAGCAACGCCGCGUGAGUGAUGAAGGUCUUCGGAUCGUAAAACUCUGUUAUUAGGGAAGAACAUAUGUGUAAGUAACUGUGCACAUCUUGACGGUACCUAAUCAGAAAGCCACGGCUAACUACGUGCCAGCAGCCGCGGUAAUACGUAGGUGGCAAGCGUUAUCCGGAAUUAUUGGGCGUAAAGCGCGCGUAGGCGGUUUUUUAAGUCUGAUGUGAAAGCCCACGGCUCAACCGUGGAGGGUCAUUGGAAACUGGAAAACUUGAGUGCAGAAGAGGAAAGUGGAAUUCCAUGUGUAGCGGUGAAAUGCGCAGAGAUAUGGAGGAACACCAGUGGCGAAGGCGACUUUCUGGUCUGUAACUGACGCUGAUGUGCGAAAGCGUGGGGAUCAAACAGGAUUAGAUACCCUGGUAGUCCACGCCGUAAACGAUGAGUGCUAAGUGUUAGGGGGUUUCCGCCCCUUAGUGCUGCAGCUAACGCAUUAAGCACUCCGCCUGGGGAGUACGACCGCAAGGUUGAAACUCAAAGGAAUUGACGGGGACCCGCACAAGCGGUGGAGCAUGUGGUUUAAUUCGAAGCAACGCGAAGAACCUUACCAAAUCUUGACAUCCUUUGACAACUCUAGAGAUAGAGCCUUCCCCUUCGGGGGACAAAGUGACAGGUGGUGCAUGGUUGUCGUCAGCUCGUGUCGUGAGAUGUUGGGUUAAGUCCCGCAACGAGCGCAACCCUUAAGCUUAGUUGCCAUCAUUAAGUUGGGCACUCUAAGUUGACUGCCGGUGACAAACCGGAGGAAGGUGGGGAUGACGUCAAAUCAUCAUGCCCCUUAUGAUUUGGGCUACACACGUGCUACAAUGGACAAUACAAAGGGCAGCGAAACCGCGAGGUCAAGCAAAUCCCAUAAAGUUGUUCUCAGUUCGGAUUGUAGUCUGCAACUCGACUACAUGAAGCUGGAAUCGCUAGUAAUCGUAGAUCAGCAUGCUACGGUGAAUACGUUCCCGGGUCUUGUACACACCGCCCGUCACACCACGAGAGUUUGUAACACCCGAAGCCGGUGGAGUAACCUUUUAGGAGCUAGCCGUCGAAGGUGGGACAAAUGAUUGGGGUGAAGUCGUAACAAGGUAGCCGUAUCGGAAGGUGCGGCUGGAUCACCUCCUUU